rnacentral:lncRNA from 1 species
CGACCUUGUCACCCACUGCCACCUGUUAUCCCGAGGGCCCCUCCAAGACACCUGCUGAGCCUGAGAGCUACCUGCAGAAGAUGCCACCCCCCUGGGGCCCUGCUCACUCCUGGUUCAGUGAACAACCUAGACAACUGGCCCUGUCUGUUCUGCAGGGCCCAUGAGUGCCCACACACGAUUAGAACGGCUUUCCUGCCGGGAGUCUGACCACUCACAGCUCACUCAGAUUCCGUGCUGAGCCCAGGGCAGCGGGAGAGUCCUCUGGGCUCCAUGACCAGCGGGUCAGGGGCGGGACUUGGUUCCGGGUCCCAGUGCUGCUCCGAGCUUGGCUCUCCCUCCCCUCUGCUCUCCCAAGAGUGCACGUGGACAUUUUCCACCACGCACACAGGAGUGAACAAGACGGCUGUUUUCUUUUACUUCCUGUGACUUUCUGUCAACCUCUUCUUUUUGUGUGUGUGUCAACCUCGUCUUAACCUCAACCUAAGCAUCUUUCCCCACGGGACUCACAACCUGAAAAUCUCGCUCAUUUGUAGAUAAGACAAAUCAACCUGCACUGUAAGCUGUGAUGGUCUCCGUAGCUGGCAGCUGGCAGCUGGCAGCUUUACCCAGUGUGAGGGCGGUCGAACACUACGGUGAACAUUUAGGGUCAGAAGAGAGUACAACAGACACCACGCGCCCCUUACUAACCCUAAGCCAGCCGUGAAUAAGGCACCCCCUUGCCAAGCAGCUGCCCACCCCGAAGAUAAGGCCUCAAAGGCAGGUCAAGGGCAGUGAACGGGCAGAAAGCUCCACGGGGACCACGUCAGUCAGAGGCGCCCGGAAGCCAAGCCAGCUACGGCAGGUUCAUCCUCCUGGAGCCCCCGCCCCGAUUCCUUCUUAACCAGCCAGCUGUCUUCUCCUUCUCUCUCCCCUUCCUUUUCCUCUUCACAAAUCAAAUGUCUUCCUUUCCUUAAACCCAGUCCCUCAGACUCGUUACUGGGGUUGAGCUCAUGAUCCCCACAGACUGCUC